UCAAAAAGGUAGCAGACUCUCCCCGGGCUCUGUCCAGGUGGCGUAGGGGAGCAUAGGGCUCUGCCCCGUGAUGUACAGUCCCUUUCCACAAAAUUGGAGAGAAAGCCGGGCCUUGAGUUUGUGCCUGCAUAUUCCUACAACUUCUCAGAGUCCUGUGGAUGAUGACUGAGGAGACAAACCAUGCAGGAAACAUCU
rfam:Myotis davidii contig143307, whole genome shotgun sequence.